rnacentral:rRNA from 1 species
UACGGAGGGGGCUAGCGUUGUUCGGAAUUACUGGGCGUAAAGCGCACGUAGGCGCUUGGUAAGUUAGAGGUGAAAGCCUGGAGCUCAACUCCAGAAUUGCCUUUAAGACUGCCGAGCUAGCAGGUGAGAGAGGUGAGUGGAAUUCCGAGUGUAGAGGUGAAAUUCGUAGAUAUUCGGAAGAACACCAGUGGCGAAGGCGGCUCACUGGCCUGGUAUUGACGCUGAGGUGCGAAAGCGUGGGGAGCAAACAGG